UAACAUCUACUCGUACCAAAGAAAACGCCCGGUGAAAAUCCUCCCCUCGCCCCAUCACUCUCCCGCCCCAUCACUCCCGCGCCCUUCUCCCGCGAGCUUCGCGCGAAAUCGACAUGGAUGACCACCGGUGCAGCAUGCCCAACCGGCGGAUCCGAGCACCUACUCCUCCUCCUCCACCUCCUCCACCUCAUCCGCCCCCUCCCUGUGUCCUUCGAGCUCCACCCCCCGUUCCAUCGACACAAGGGUUGGAAGAUCUGAAAUUUGGGGGAAGUGAGGAGAUCUUGCAAGAAUUAGUGUGCUGGGGCGUUGGUGGUAUCAUCCCGGGUCCUGGCCUCCCCUUCAGAACGAAUUUGGAGACCUGUGAUUUGUACUGUACACCCAACCUCACUUCCUGUACUUUUUCCUAUUCCUUUGCUCUGCUCUCCUCCAGUCCGAACACAGCCUUAAGGUCUGUUCUAAUGUCCUCUAGCUAACUCCACAAACUCUAAAGUUGGAGUCGAGUCGAAUGUUUUAGCACCAAGAAGCUGGAGCUGAGAAGCUGCAGCUGACCGUAGUGUAAAAAUGCGAAGCUGGGAGCCAGCUCCACCGAAUUGAGAAGCUGAGAGUUUGACAUAUUUACAGAGAAUUGCCCCGCCAAA